ACGAACGCUGGCGGCGUGCUUAACACAUGCAAGUCGAACGGAAAGGCCCUGCUUUUGUGGGGUGCUCGAGUGGCGAACGGGUGAGUAACACGUGAGUAACCUGCCCUUGACUUUGGGAUAACUUCAGGAAACUGGGGCUAAUACCGGUUAGGAGCUCCUGCUGCAUGGUGGGGGUUGGAAAGUUUCGGCGGUUGGGGAUGGACUCGCGGCUUAUCAGCUUGUUGGUGGGGUAGUGGCUUACCAAGGCUUUGACGGGUAGCCGGCCUGAGAGGGUGACCGGGAAGAUGGGGACGGAGAGACGGACAAGGGCGUGGAGGGGGGAAGAGGGGGGAAGGCGGGCACGGGGGGCGGAGGCAGGAGGAGGAAGGGCGGGGGGGGGGAGGAGGGCGGUCGGGGGGUAAGCCGCUGACGCGUGGGAAGAGGGGGGAGUGGCGGAAAGGGGAAAAGAAGCAGGGGCCAAAGACGUGACAGAGGCAGAGGAAAGAACGGGAAGAACACACGUCUGAAC
rnacentral:rRNA from 1 species